GAUGGGUAGCUGGUCUGAGAGGAUGAUCAGCCACACUGGGACUGCGACGCGGCCCAGACUCCUACGGGAGGCAGCAGUGGGGAAUUCUGCGCAAUGGGCGCAAGCCUGACGCAGCAACGCCGCGUGCAUAGACGACGCCUUUCGAGGUGUAAAGUGCUGUCGACCGGGACGAAGGGGCGAGGGUGAACAGCUUUCGCGCAUGACGGUACCGGUGGAGGAAGCCCCGGCUAAACUCCGUGCCAGCAGCCGUGGUAAGACGGAGGGGGCGAGCGUUGUUCGGAAUUACUGGGCGUAAAGCGCGCGUAAGCGGUGCAGCAAGUGGUGCGUGAAAGCCCUCGGGUUAACCGGGGACGGGCGUGCCAAACUGUUGGACUGGAGUGCCGGAGGGGGACGCGGACUUCCUGGUGGAGCGGUGAAACGCGUAGAGAUCAGGAAGAACGUCGGUGGCGAAGGCGGCACUCCUGCACGGACACCGACCCUGAGCUGCGACAGCGUGGGGAGCGAACGGCGAUUAGAUACCACCGGUAGUCCACGCCCUAAACGAUGGGUACUAGAUCUAGGGCUCGUGAUGAGGACCGUGCCGGAGCUAACGCAGUAAGUACCCCGCCUGGGGAGUACGAUCGCAAGGCUGAGACUCAAAGGAAUAGACGGGGGCCCGCACAAACAGCUGGAGCAUGAGCAUUAAUUCGACGCAACGCGCAGAACCAGACCCAGGCCCGACAUGCACCGGCACAGCGAGGAGAAUCACUGGCCCGGUCUCGGGACGGUGCACAGGUACAGCAUGGCUAUCGUCAGCUCCAGUCGUGAGAUGAAGAGUUAAGUCCAGCAACGAGCGCAGACCCCAGCCCGUACCUGCCAACAGCAGAAGCUGAGGACGCUACGGGGACGAUCAGCUAUGGAUCCGCAGCGAAGACUGAAGGAUGACGAUCAAGUCAUCAUCGGCCCUGACGCUACGCCGGACAAUUAAUACAACUACACGGGCAGACUGCGCGACCCCCGAGGGGACGCGAUACCUGAUCCGUCUUCAGUUCGGAUUGGAGUCUGCAACUCGACUCCAUGAAGUGGAUCGCUAGUAAUCGCGGAUCAGC
rnacentral:rRNA from 1 species